rnacentral:rRNA from 1 species
ACACAUGCAGUCGAGCGGAGAUGAGGUGCUUGCACCUUAUCUUAGCGGCGGACGGGUGAGUAAUGCUUAGGAAUCUGCCUAUUAGUGGGGGACAACAUUUCGAAAGGAAUGCUAAUACCGCAUACGCCCUACGGGGGAAAGCAGGGGAUCUUCGGACCUUGCGCUAAUAGAUGAGCCUAAGUCGGAUUAGCUAGUUGGUGGGGUAAAGGCCUACCAAGGCGACGAUCUGUAGCGGGUCUGAGAGGAUGAUCCGCCACACUGGGACUGAGACACGGCCCAGACUCCUACGGGAGGCAGCAGUGGGGAAUAUUGGACAAUGGGGGGAACCCUGAUCCAGCCAUGCCGCGUGUGUGAAGAAGGCCUUUUGGUUGUAAAGCACUUUAAGCGAGGAGGAGGAGCUCUAGAUUAAUACUCUAGAUGCUUGGACGUUACUCGCAGAAUAAGCACCGGCUAACUCUGUGCCAGCAGCCGCGGUAAUACAGAGGGUGCAAGCGUUAAUCGGAUUUACUGGGCGUAAAGCGUGCGUAGGUGGUCUUUUAAGUCGGAUGUGAAAUCCCUGAGCUUAACUUAGGAAUUGCAUUCGAUACUGGGAGACUAGAGUAUGGGAGAGGAUGGUAGAAUUCCAGGUGUAGCGGUGAAAUGCGUAGAGAUCUGGAGGAAUACCGAUGGCGAAGGCAGCCAUCUGGCCUAAUACUGACACUGAGGUACGAAAGCAUGGGGAGCAAACAGGAUUAGAUACCCUGGUAGUCCAUGCCGU